rnacentral:tRNA from 1 species
GCCCGGCUAGCUCAGUCGGGAGAGCAUGAGACUCUUAAUCUCGGAGUCGUGGUUCGAGCCCCACGUUGGGCG